UUGCUCUCUGUUUUCUCUACCUUUCCAGACAAUCAGCAGUGACACUCCAAUAUUUGAAAGAGAGUAUACCUACAUGAUUAAUACUACUGCUGUGCAAGCUCUUCCCACAACCACACUAGUGAUAACUCCUGGUGUCUACCUGCAGUCACUGAAAUAUUUCUACUUUUCCCAAGGUAGCUGCAAUGAGAGCAGAGGGAUUUGCAAACAGCAGUGUGUGAGAUGAGGAGGCUGUGCUGACAGCUAUGGGUGAGGUUCUGCUCUUUCUGUGUGAUCGAAGGUACAUAUCUGUCAGGGUGGCCAUGGAUACUGUCAACUGCAAGGUGUGAAACUUCUACAGUCUGUAGCUACAGUGUGUAAAUUGUUUCCUGCCACUCUAUAGAAUUUUUCUCCCUUAAUGAUAUGGAAGGAGAUAACUACUCACAGUGCUGACAGAGAACUUGAUGAGAGUUCCUACAAUCACUAGGAACCUGAGAUUAAACUUCUCCCCUGAUCCUCCAUCCCUGGGAGAGAUGGGAAAGAGCUUGAGUGAAAGAAUCUAACAAAUUUUGAUACCUGCAAUGGCAACUGGAAAAUACAUACUGUGGAUUUGGGGUGCAAGUGGAACAAUUUUUUUGCAUUUAAACAUCAUAUCAGUACCAGGCUGUUAAUGAUUUCCACAUCAAGGGAAAGGUAGCAUUCAAGUAUAUUCCGCAGAUAACUAUGCAGUUGAAAAACUGUCCAGAGGUGAUGCCAGUGGAAAAGAUUAAAAGAACAGCUGUGAAGGAAAAGGAACUAAUUUGGAAUGGAAGCUGUACUCAAAAUCACCAUGUCCCAGUAAGGCUGAUCGUGAUUCUUUCUGCUUCAGAUCUGAGCUUCUACAUCUGAGCUACAACAGAAGCUGCAUUCACCAUGGAGAGAGGAAACAUAUUCAAAAAAAGCAAAUAUGUUUAAUGAGAUAUAUAUUUGGAACGAAUUUCUCUGUGAAGCUGAGAAGGAAAUGGCUUUGCCUGAUAGCUCCUCCUGAAGGGACUGUGGCUCAGAGCAGUAUCAUACUUGCCUUCAUCUUUAUAGUGAAGCAAUCCUGGAAGCAGAUAAAGUGGGCUGAACGAACACAGAAGAAAGGUACUAAAUCAAAGGAAGAAAAUAAAGACUGCACAUUCCUGGCCUGUUUUAAUCCAUGUUCAUUGGGAUAUCUCAUAUGAAAUUUAGCAGCACACUGUUAAUCAGGGUAGACUGAAACCAGUUUCAGAGUGAGCAGUUCCCUGGGGAAUAGC
rnacentral:lncRNA from 1 species